AGCAGCGCGCGUACGCGUACCGCUACGCUCGUACAAUCAACGCGCUCCUCGCCCAACGCCGGCUGCUGCGCAAGACGUCACAAACGCACACCCACACGGACGCGCACAAACAGGCGCGCGCAGCGGGAGACUCGUCACAGAGCGAAUGCAAAAGGCUGUACGCACGCACGAACACCAUGCACGAAACGAAGUGGGUAGGCGCGCACACAUACAGACGCACAGACGCAAGUGAAGGAACGAACGCGCGGACAAAGUCGCGGGCCCCCGACUUCUUCGCAGCGGGGCGGAUGAAUUUUUCCUCUCGACAAGUACCGUUACAGCCAACGUCUGCGGAAGCCAUUGGGGGAGGGUUGUGGGAGGGGGCAGGGGGACGUGUGAACUGCCACCUUGUUUGCACCGGGCCCGGUUCAUCCUCUUGUUUCUCUUUUUCUUCUCGCGCUUUCUCGUCCUCGUGCACCGGACUACUUUCUCUAACUGCAAGGCCACCCCGAAAACACGCACUUUCACUCGGCUGAUCGAAUGCCCCCACCGCGAUUGGGGCCCCGGCACGAAGAAACCACCGUACAGGCAGAGACCGCUCGCGAGCUCGACGCCGGACGCCGGCGAGAUAGCCGGCCGCCUUCCCGGCCGCCGUGUUCCGGCCCCAACCUUUCCUCGUCGCUUUGCACGCGUCCGUUAUCGAAAACUGCAGCCGUGGGUCGUUCUCCCACCGGCAGUGGGAACGCCAUCGCGGGAUGCGGGACACGGAGGCUCGCCGGUCACAGCCAGGAGACGACGAGGACGAUGGAUAGCCGCCGAGGCAAGAAGUAGUAGCCGCCGAGAGGCGACCAGACCUACGCACGGUCUUCCGCGUCCAUUCAAGCCUGCACACAACACUGCGACCUCACUAAGAAAACAAGAAAGAACGAGAAUGUCUUGAAGGCAUGGAUAACGGCGGGACCAUCGUGUGCAGACAAAACCAACGGCCGACUCUCCCGCUUCAAAGAACCAGGCAGCAGAUAAGCGAGUUGAAGCUGUCGUCAAACAACGCAGACAGGGGGUCAAGCGUUGGGUCUGCGAGCACAGGGACCGGGCCUAGUGAGGAGGAGGUGCGCCCGGGCUGCGAGCCGGAGCGGAGGAGAGGUGACCCCGAGCCGUGGCGUCGUCGUCGUCUCCCGGCCCGGGCCCACAGCCGCCGGGGCGAGAAAGAUAAUGUCAAGGUUCAGAGCGGCGUCCUGCUGCACGGAGGCAGAGCGCACGCCCGCGCGCUCCCUCGGUACUGCUGCUUCCGGGUUGCUGCUGCUACCGCCGCAGCUACCUGCGCUUGAAC
rnacentral:lncRNA from 1 species